ACUCCUACGGGAGGCAGCAGUGGGGAAUAUUGCACAAUGGGCGCAAGCCUGAUGCAGCAACGCCGCGUGAGGGACGACGGCCUUCGGGUUGUAAACCUCUUUUAGUAGGGAAGAAGCGAAAGUGACGGUACCUGCAGAAAAAGCACCGGCUAACUACGUGCCAGCAGCCGCGGUAAUACGUAGGGUGCAAGCGUUGUCCGGAAUUAUUGGGCGUAAAGAGCUCGUAGGCGGUUUGUCGCGUCUGCUGUGAAAACCCGAGGCUCAACCUCGGGCCUGCAGUGGGUACGGGCAGACUAGAGUGCGGUAGGGGAGAUUGGAAUUCCUGGUGUAGCGGUGGAAUGCGCAGAUAUCAGGAGGAACACCGAUGGCGAAGGCAGAUCUCUGGGCCGUAACUGACGCUGAGGAGCGAAAGCGUGGGGAGCGAACAGGAUUAGAUACCCUGGUAGUCCACGCCGUAAACGUUGGGAACUAGAUGUGGGGGCCAUUCCACGGCUUCCGUGUCGCAGCUAACGCAUUAAGUUCCCCGCCUGGGGAGUACGGCCGCAAGGCUAAAACUCAAAGGAAUUGACGGGGGCCCGCACAAGCGGCGGAGCAUGCGGAUUAAUUCGAUGCAACGCGAAGAACCUUACCAAGGCUUGACAUAUACCUGAAAAGGCUGGAAACAGUCUCCCCGCAAGGCAGGUAUACAGGUGGUGCAUGGUUGUCGUCAGCUCGUGUCGUGAGAUGUUGGGUUAAGUCCCGCAACGAGCGCAACCCUCGUUCUAUGUUGCCAGCACGUAAUGGUGGGAACUCAUAGGAGACUGCCGGGGUCAACUCGGA
rnacentral:rRNA from 1 species